GUUGCUACUUGCUAUUCAGUUGAAAUUUUCUACUUUCAUUUUGGAGGUUUUACUGUUAGCAUGUCAUACAAAUACAAAGUAGCAAAAUUUUGAAAGGAAUCAAAGACUAAGAUGGCUAGAUACCACAAGUAGGGCAAUGUAGACAUAUUACAAUUAUAAAAUUAUCUAUAAGUCAUAACAGAGUUUGUAACAGAGGUAAUUUAAUUAGUUUAGGUUUUA
rnacentral:misc_RNA from 1 species